CCUACGGGAGGCUGCAGUGGGGAAUAUUGCACAAUGGGGGAAACCCUGAUGCAGCGACGCCGCGUGAGUGAAGAAGUAAUUCGUUACGUAAAGCUCUAUCAGCAGGGAAGAAAAUGACGGUAACUGAGUAAGAAGCCAGGGCUAAAUACGUGCCAGAAGCCGCGGGAAUACGGAGGGGGAAAACGUUAGCCGGAUUUACUGGGGGAAAAGGGAGCGUAGACGGUGCGGCAAGUCUGGGGUGAAAUGCCGCAGCUUAACCGCGGGAGUGCUUUGGAAACUGGCGACCUAGAGUGCGGGAGGGGUAAGCGGAAUUCCUAGUGUAGCGGUGAAAUGCGUAGAUAUUUGGAUGAACACCGGUGGCGAAGGCGGCUGACUGGACUGUAACUGACGUUGAGGCUCGAAAGCGUGGGGAGCAAACAGGAUUAGAUACCCUUGUAGUC
rnacentral:rRNA from 1 species